UGCUGUUUUAUUUAAAAAUUUGAUCACUCACUCUUCUUUUACCGCUUAUCCGGAACCGGGUCAUGGAGGCAACAGCUCCAGCAGGGGACCCUA